rnacentral:ncRNA from 1 species
UAGAGGUACAGAUAGAGAUAUACUGUUUACAUUCAAUGUUUGAUGUUCUAUUAAGCGUACUGUAGUACGCCGACUUGAAUGGGUAGCUGCCAUUGGUGGCUAUUUUUUUACAUU